rnacentral:rRNA from 1 species
UGCGGUUAUACAAAAAUUAAAAUAAAUUUUUUAAAAAAUUAAUUAAUAAAGUAAAUUUAAAGUUUAAAUUUUAAAUUAUUAAGUGAAAUUUUAAUUUAAUUAAAAAUUAUUUUAUAUUAUGAAUUAAUAAAUUUUAUUUAUAAACUAGGAUUAGAUACCCUAUUAUUAAAAAUUUAAAGUAAUAAUUUUAAAAUAGUAGAUAUUUAUAUAUUGAAACUUAAAUAAUUUGGCGGUAUUUUAGUUCAUUUAGAGGAAUCUGUCUAAUAAUUGAUAAUCCACGAAUAAAUUUACUUAGUUUAUUAUUUUGUAUAUCGUUGUUAAAAAAAUAUUUUAUAAUAAAAAUAAUAUUUAAAAAUUUAAAAUAAAAAUUAAAUCAGAUCAAGAUGCAGAUUAUAAUUAAGAAUAUGAUGGAUUACAAUAAAAUUAUUUAAGUGAAUAUUAAUUUGGAAAAAUUAAUUGAAAAUGGAUUUAAAUGUAAUUUUUAUUAAUUUAUAAAAAUGAUUGAAAAUUAAAAUAUGUACAUAUUGCCCGUCGCUUUCAUUUAUAAGUUGAAAUAAGUCGUAACAAAGUAGAGGUACUGGAAAGUGUUUCUAGAAAGAA